rnacentral:rRNA from 1 species
UACGUAGGGGGCGAGCGUUGUCCGGAUUCAUUGGGCGUAAAGAGCUCGUAGGCGGUUCGGUAAGUCAGGUGUGAAAACUCCAGGCUCAACUUGGAGACGCCACCUGAUACUGUCGUGACUAGAGUCCGGUAGGGGAGGCAUGGAAUUCCUGGUGUAGCGGUGAAAUGCGCAGAUAUCAGGAGGAACACCAGCGGCGAAGGCGGUGCUCUGGGCCGGAACUGACGCUGAGGAGCGAAAGCGUGGGGAGCGAACAGG